rnacentral:tRNA from 2 species
GUCCCCUUCGUCUAGUGGUUUAGGACACCGCCCUUUCACGGCGGUAACAGGGGUUCGAGUCCCCUAGGGGACGCCA